CGGGUGAGUAACACGUGGAUAACCUACCUAUAAGACUGGGAUAACUUCGGGAAACCGGAGCUAAUACCGGAUAAUAUUUUGAACCGCAUGGUUCAAAAGUGAAAGACGGUCUUGCUGUCACUUAUAGAUGGAUCCGCGCUGCAUUAGCUAGUUGGUAAGGUAACGGCUUACUAAGGCAACGAUGCAUAGCCGACCUGAGAGGGUGAUCGGCCACACUGGAACUGAGACACGGUCCAG
rnacentral:rRNA from 1 species